rnacentral:rRNA from 1 species
CGCGUGGGAAUCUGCCCUCAGGAGGGGGAUAACGGCCGGAAACGGCCGCUAAUACCCCAUAUGCCGAGAGGUGAAAUGAAUUUCGCCUGAGGAUGAGCCCGCGUCUGAUUAGCUAGUUGGUGAGGUAAGAGCUCACCAAGGCAUCGAUCAGUAGCUGGUCUGAGAGGAUGAUCAGCCACACUGGGACUGAGACACGGCCCAGACUCCUACGGGAGGCAGCAGUGGGGAAUAUUGGACAAUGGAGGCAACUCUGAUCCAGCCAUGCCGCGUGCAGGAAGACUGCCCUAUGGGUUGUAAACU